GGCAAUAAGUGAACUCCACGAAAUGACCUACUAUAAAUGAACCAUUUUUAACAUAUCAUUUGGUUUCUGUACUGUAUACAAUAAUAUUGGACUGGCACAAAAUGUAUCUGACUUCAUGAACCUUGGAUAAUCUAGGUGCGACGAGAUUUCUGGGACUUGAGAGACUCGAAGCGAGCAGUAAGUUUGUCGUAGUCAGGUAAAUUGGGAUGAACCCGAGGCACAUGAGGUGCAGGACGGUUGGGGGCUCGAUUGGUUCCUCUACUGAAUUCGUGAGUUCCCAUCUCUUCUUCACCAUCUGAUUCAUCAAACUUGAUACCUGAAUGUACUGAUGGAACAUUGUAGCUGUGCCUUCUGUAGAACUU
rnacentral:misc_RNA from 1 species